rnacentral:rRNA from 1 species
GAUGAACGCUGGCGGUAUGCCUAACACAUGCAAGUCGAACGCGAGCUUCGGCUCGAGUGGCAGACGGGUGAGUAACACGUAAGAAUCUACCUCUAGGAAGGGGACAACAGUUGGAAACGGCUGCUAAUACCCUAUAUGUCGCAAGAUGAAAGGUUUUUCCGCCUAGAGAAGAGCUUGCGUCUGAUUAGUUAGUUGGUAAGGUAAUGGCUUACCAAGACGAAGAUCAGUAGCUGGUUUGAGAGGAUGAUCAGUCACACUGGAACUGAGACACGGUCCAG